UACGAAGGGUGCAAGCGUUAAUCGGACUUACUGGGCGUAAAGGGUGCGUAGGCGGUUCGUUAAGUCUGUCGUGAAAUCCCCGGGCUCAACCUGGGAAUGGCGAUGGAUACUGGCGAGCUAGAGUGUGUCAGAGGAUGGUGGAAUUCCCGGUGUAGCGGUGAAAUGCGUAGAGAUCGGGAGGAACAUCAGUGGCGAAGGCGGCCAUCUGGGACAACACUGACGCUGAAGCACGAAAGCGUGGGGAGCAAACAGG
rnacentral:rRNA from 1 species